AGAUGAGAUUAUGAAUGCAAUUAAUUUCCUUAUUGGUUUGAUUGGCUGAUAUGAUGGCCCAAAUAGUGAACUGAAUGUGAUGAUGC
rfam:Triticum urartu cultivar G1812 contig307009, whole genome shotgun sequence.